CCUACGGGUGGCAGCAGUGGGGAAUAUUGCACAAUGGGGGAAACCCUGAUGCAGCGACGCCGCGUGAGUGAAGAAGCGUUUCGGCGCGUAAAGCUCUGUCAGCGGGGAAGAAACACGGUUCGCGAGAGCCGCGGACGGUACCCGACUAAGAAGCCCCGGCUAACUACGUGCCAGCAGCCGCGGUAAUACGUAGGGGGCAAGCGUUAUCCGGAUUUACGGGGUGUAAAGGGAGCGUAGACGGUAUGGCAAGUCUGAAGUGAAAGCCCAGGGCUUAACCCUGGGACUGCUUUGGAAACUGUUAGACUAGAGUGCUGGAGAGGUAAGUGGAAUUCCUAGUGUAGCGGUGAAAUGCGUAGAUAUUAGGAGGAACACCAGUGGCGAAGGCGGCUUACUGGACAGUAACUGACGUUGAGGCUCGAAAGCGUGGGGAGCAAACAGGAUUAGAUACCCUUGUAGUC
rnacentral:rRNA from 1 species